rnacentral:lncRNA from 1 species
AUCGUUCCUUAAAAUGGUUGAAUGAUAACUUCAUUUGGAAUUCUCAUUUCGGUAUUUUUGACGAACCAAAUAUUAAAAUGAUCAUUCAUAGCAUUCCUUAAAAAAAAAAAGAAGUUAUUAAAACGAGAAUUCUUCUGGAAUUAUCAUUCUAUUCGAACGAACCAAACUUAGCCUAAAGGUAUACAAGAGUAUAGUUAAAGUUAUAUACACAAAAAAGGAAGGUUCAAUUAAAGGUAUACUCACUUGCAGUCAUGAGUAGUCCGCCAAUACUUUGAAGAGGUGGAGUUAAGACAAUACCAAGCAAAAGGGGGACCUUAAACGUGGAGCAAAGACAAAUCAGAGCAGAAGAGAGAGAAAGGAUGGGCUCAUGAUUUUAAAUUGCCGUAUAUCGGUAUCAGUAAUACGACCAUAUAUAUCGGUUGAUAUUUAAAACCUUUGUAACAAACAUUUCCAAUCUUGUAUUCGAGACUAAACUUUAGCUCUUCUUAUAUUACCAAAGCAUUCUUUCUUCUGUACUUCAUUUGUGUCUAAUUAAAAGUUGAUUAUGCAUCCAAUGAAUCUUGACUCUCUAAUCAUGCAUAUAUUUUUGUUCUUUCAGGAGUAAUUUUGGUCUUCAAGUUCAAUGAUACUCCAACUUUGGUGGUGUUCAUUCUUUUAAGUGGUUUCAAAAUCAGAACACGAAACUAGCUAGCAUCUCUCCAGUUUAAAGAAUAAUAUAUUUUACAUGGCAAGGAUUUUUAUUUAUAAAUGUACUCAAAGCAUUCUCCAAUAGAUAUUUCUUGAGGGCAAAGACCUUCCAAAAAUUAACUAUGUCUAGGCCAACUUUGACGAGAAAAGAAAAUCUUGAUAAUAAUUUGAAAAGUAAAAAAUGUCAUAAUAUUCAAAAACUAUAAUAGAAGUGAUUAUGCUUAUUAUAAAUCUCAAGGGAGAGUAGUGUAAUUUGCCUCAAAAUUAUAUAUAUAUAUUAUAUAUAUAUAUAUAUACACACUAUAAGUGACUGUGUUCAUUCAUCUCAUGCUUCUAUUUUUAUUUUCUUUUUUCUCACAAAUAUAUGAGAAUCCAAAACCGCUCAAGUGUGCUCGAAGUGGUUGGCAGAAAAAAAUAUUCUCUUUAUUUAUUUGGGAUGACAAUUUUUUUUCUUCUUCCAUUUCUCUCUCUGCUUUGCUCUUGAACUCUCUUUUGGUUGAAAAUAAAUACUAAUCAAGUUAUUUGUAAUACCUACAAGGGAAAUGAGGGUAGACAAAAGGUUUAAUUAGUCACACAGUUUAAUGUACUAUACCAAUAACUUGAUUAGUAUUUAAUGUCCUAAUUUCCAAAUCUGAAUUUGUAACAAUGCGACUGAAUUAAGCUGCGAACAACUACCAAUUCAACCAGAGGAUGGUUUAAAAAAUUUCUCUGUUUUCCCCCUCAAAUCGGACAUGCUUAAUCGAGGAAGAGGGAGAGAAAUUAGGAGUUAUGAUGGAAUAUUUUGUUUAUAGCAAAGAUCUUAACUACAAUAUAGUGAUACCCAAAGUUUAAUAAUGGUGGCAAAUUAAGUCUUGGCUAUGGAUUUGGUUAACAAGAAGAUAGUCCAAAACAAGUAGCACAAAGCUCACAGUAAUAUCAUAAUGACAGAAAAAGACUAACUAAUGUGAAACUAUUACGGCUUAAUUUGCUUCUUUUUCAGCCCCAUGAAUUUUUGACAGAAACUCGAAUUUGAUUUUCUCGAGUGUUGCAAUGACAUUUUCUAAGUUUCUUCCGGUGAAUCCGCACAGCAUGAUAAAGCCAAUUCCAUAAUGGAUUUGAUACAUUGCCCCUUGACAACGAAAUGUUCAUCAUUGUUUGGUUAAUAUUUGGCAUCUAUAACUUUGAUUGAUUUUGAUGUAAUGAGUCUUCACACCACUGCUUCUAAGCUCAUCUCUUCGACAAAGCUGAUUCAUCUAUGGCUUCCUUUCUCGAAAAUGUUUCCUAGCAUUACACCAUAGCUAUAAUACAUCACCUUUGGUGUACUAUACCUCAGACCAUAACUCUGUAUAGCACCAUAUCUUAAAGAAGUGCGUUGUACUACACAAAAGAAAGUUUCAAAUACAAACAAGAACUUUAACUAGACUAAGUAAUAGAAAUACACUUACAUAGCUCCACCUGGGUGGAAUGUACCCAAUUGUACCAAUCCGUCCUCCGUUUGCACUGUAGACUCCUCUAUUGCUAAAGAGCUUUGCUAUGCAAUACAUCCUUAAAAAUGGGCAACCAUAUCUUCAUCAAAGCAAAAAUUGCCGGCUUUUUUACAUCACAUGAACCACGGGUGUUGAAUUAACCAUGAUUAAUGAUACAAGUCUGAUGCAACAUCACUCAUAAUGUUCAUUCUCAAUUCUUUGUGACUAUCCCCACAAUAGCCAUGGUUACUGCAACCACUGUGUCUCCCACACCAACUCCCCUAGGCCUGUAAUUCCCUAUCACCAAAGCCUGAAAUCACGCGUCUGGAGCAACUUCCAUAACCUUUAUCGAUCUUCGGUGACCGUACUACGCGCAUGACCUCACAUUCAAAACAUCAAACUCCCUUUAGUGACGCCUUCCAUUUCCAACUCAAAACCUUUUAUUGCAACCAUCCUGUCAUCUUAAACUGCCCCUUUGUAUAACCGAACUAAAACUUUCCUUUACAAAUUAAUUGCAUCCGCAAAUCCACUUGGUUUUGCCCGUAAAGCUGUUGGUGUGAGAACCUUUCUGAUGCCAUCCAAGGAAAUAAAUUCUCUUGAUUUGGAAUUCUUGUUCUUAACCUUUAUGGCAACCCGCCAUUGUCAACCCGGCAAUUAUUGAGAUUAAAGUUGGAUUACUGUUGCUGCCGAUAUGGUAAAAGUGUAGCAACAAGCACGAGUGCUUUUUUGACCGGUGAUGACCUAGUACAGUGACUUGGAACCGUGGGACCCCACAUAGAGCCUUAUUCCCUAUAAAGAUGGAGCAGUGAGUUGCAAAAGGUCCUUCUCAGGUAUUUCUUCCUUCCAGCUUGUUUAACGACAAAUUCAAAUACUUUGAGAUAGAGGCGUCGUUGUAUGGUUUCGGGAACUUUGCCGGACAAAUUGUUUGGGCAAAUCCAGAAUUCCAAACUUCUCAAACUACGCAAAUGUGGAGGAAUAGACCUUGGAAUCGAUUAGGUGCCUAGGAGAGAUUUUCAAGGUUUUGAAGGCUUCCAAUUGAGCUGGGAUGUAACCGAGCUAUUGUUCCUUAGAUCUGUCUAAUUCGAUUCACAACCUUCGAAAUUUCCAUCGCUAACGAUGUUCACCACUUAGAGAAUUUUGAAGACAAGCUUUUAGAUUCAAAAGAUCAUUCAUUUUCCAAAGUGUGGAGGGAUUCUGAAGUUAAUCCAUUUGAGCUGACUUGCAUUGAUCCUUAGCUAGUAACUGUUCCCUAAGCAAAGCUGGCAAGACUCCAGAAAGUUUAUUUCCACUUAAGAAAUAAAGUAACAGUUUCUUAAAUGACAGAGCUCAUUUGGGAUCCGAAUCCUUGCUGUUUGGUUGCUUCUUAGUUCAGAAUUGGAGCUUUCUCUAAUUGUCCAAUUGUUGGACGGAUUUACCCCAUACUAUCAUUAUUAUUUUGAAGAUCUAUCGGCGACGUAAGUUUGCUCAAAUUACGCCAUGCUCAUAGGAAGGUCUGCCCAUCAAAUUCACAAUAUCUGCCGACAAACUCUCAAGAUAAGAUAACUCCCAAUUGUGGUCUGGCAGGAUACACACAUUUAUGGAUUCUCUCCUCUCCACAAUGUUCCCUCACAAUGUUUGCAUGUUCUUAGCUUUGGCUCCAGCACAGAAAGAAUUUGCUAGUGCAAUAUCUCGUCCAAAGCUAUAGCGUUGAAGAAGUUCUAGCGUUUAUCCCAGUGUAUUAGGCAUAUAUCCUGUGAAUGAGUUGAGGCAAGGGCCAACGAAAUCGAGUUUAAAGCAUUUGAGAGAGAAUUGGCGUAUGACUCCAGUUAGGCAUUUUCGUCUAGGAUAAAGUCCACUUAAUUUCGGGCAACCAAUCACCUAUGUUUGUAUGGAGAUAGCCCUAAAGAUUACUUGGCUGCUAGCGAAGGCUUUGUCAGGGUCCAUGACAUGUUGAAUAUUACUGGACGGAAUUUGAUCACUUAGACUAUUGCCAGAGAUGUUCCAGCUCCUCUAGAUAUGAAGUUUCCCAACCUUUCUUGAGGUAUUGAACCUGAAAAUAAUAUCACCGGUGCACAAUACUUUAAUUUUCAUUAGAUAUAUAUCAUGGAUGAAAAAACGUGAAAUGUUGGGUAUGCAUAUUUGGCAUCCUAGUUGUGUAUUUGUUCAUGUAACACAUUAUAUAUGAGGUUCCCCAUAACAUGUAAUGUAAUGUAAGGUAUUACAUGAGAUCGCCACUCCUUCUGAUAUGUGAUAACAAAUGCCAAAGCAUUAUGGUAUUAAAACUAAGUCAAGAAUGACAAUUUGCAAGGCUCGUAGUCACAAAACCAAUUUGGCGAAUAGAUUAGUUCUGGUUGGACAGCUGUGAAUGGGCUAGGCAUUCUUCAUGACAAUUUUCCCUCCUUAUUUUAAUAAAAGUAGAGGGGUUUACCUAAGGUCAUUAGGAAUCAUGGAAAAUCCUCACAUGAUUAAGGUCCCAUUUCUGAAACCAUGGACCUCAAAAGGCGUCAUUAACUUGGCAUGACCAGUCCCUUUAGCCUCGUUUGAUAGUGUGAUAGGAUGGUAAGAUUCAGAUCGUAAUGAGGUAGGACUAUGAGUGAGAUUGAUAAUAGGUAGGGAUUAGUAAUGAGAUUGGGGUAGUCCAACCUUUUGUUUUGAUUUUGCACGGGAUUAUUAGACAAUGAACUUGUUAAAGUAUCAAGGGUAAAGUUGGUCAAUUAGCCUUAAUUAGACGGGAUUACAACAUGAAUUUUCAUAUUUACCUUCAAUUUUACCAAUUAUAAAGAGUCAGGUAAUUUGGUCAAUUGGGUCUAAAAUGCGUGAUGGGAUUGAAUACCAUAUUCCCACAUGGUAUUAGCAAUUCAGCCAAUUUAGGGGAUUGCUAGUUCGACC